CAGUCGCCACGGUAAUACGAAGGGGGCUAGCGUUGUUCGGAAUUACUGGGCGUAAAGCGCACGUAGGCGGAUAUUUAAGUCAGGGGUGAAAUCCCGCAGCUCAACUGCGGAACUGCCUUUGAUACUGGGUAUCUUGAGUAUGGAAGAGGUUAGUGGAAUUGCGAGUGUAGAGGUGAAAUUCGUAGAUAUUCGCAGGAACACCUGUGGCGAAGGCGACUAUCUGGGCCAACACUGACACUGAGGCACGAAAGCGUGGGGAGCAAACAGGAUUAGAUACCCCCGUAGUCCCUGUCUCUUAUAC
rnacentral:rRNA from 1 species